rnacentral:rRNA from 1 species
GCGGGCCUGUUAGCUAGUUGGUGGGGUAGUGGCCUACCAAGGCAAUGAUGGGUAGCCGGGUUGAGAGACCGACCGGCCAGAUUGGGACUGAGACACGGCCCAGACUCCUACGGGAGGCAGCAGUGGGGAAUCUUGCACAAUGGGCGAAAGCCUGAUGCAGCGACGCCGCGUGCGGGAUGAAGGCCUUCGGGUUGUAAACCGCUUUCAGCAGGGGACGAGGCCGCAAGGUGACGGUACCUGCAGAAGAAGCCCCGGGCUAACUACGUGCUAGCAGCCGCGGGUAAAUA